AGCGCCGUUAUACUUAGAGGCCAGUGUUGUCUGGAAUAAUUAGGCGUAAAGAGCGCGCGGGGGUGCUCUUAAGUCUGAUGUGAAAGCGCCCGGCUCAACACUGGAGAGUCAUUGUAAAAAGGGGGACUCGAGUGCAGAAGAGAAGAGAGGAAUUCCACGUGUAGCGGUGAAAUGCGUAGAGAUAUGGAGGAACACCAGUGGCGAAGGCGACUCUUUGGUCUGUAAAAGACGCUGAGGCGCGAAAGAGUGGGGAGCAAACACGAUUAGAUACCCCGGUAGUCCACGCCGUAAACGAUGAGUGCUAAGUGUUAGAGGGUUUCCGCCCCUUAGUGCUGCAGCAAACGCAUUAAGCACUCUGCCCGGGGAGUACGGCCGCAAGGCUGAAACUCAAAGGAAAAGACGGGGGCCCGCACAAGCGGUGGAGCACGUGGUUUAAUUUGAAGCAACACGAAGAACCCUACCAGGUGUUGACAUCUCCUGACAAUCCCAGAGAUAGGACGUUCCCCUUUGGGGGACAGGAUGACAGGUGGUGCAUGGUUGUCGUCAGCUCGUGUCGUGAGAUGUUGGGUUAAGUCCCGCAACGAGCGCAACCCUUGAUCUUAGUUGCCAGCAUUUAGUUGGGCACUCUAAGGUGACUGCCGGUGACAAACCGGAGGAAGGUGGGGAUGACGUCAAAUCAUCAUGCCCCUUAUGACCUGGGCUACACACGUGCUACAAUGGAUGGUACAAAGGGCAGCAAAACCGCGAGGUGGAGCCAAUCCCAUAAAACCAUUCUCAGUUCGGAUUGUAGGCUGCAACUCGCCUACAUGAAGCUGGAAUCGCUAGUAAUCGCGGAUCAGCAUGCCGCGGUGAAUACGUUCCCGGGCCUUGUACACACCGCCCGUCACACCACGAGAGUUUGUAACACCCGAAGUCGGUGGGGUAACCUUUUAGGAGA
rnacentral:rRNA from 1 species